rnacentral:misc_RNA from 1 species
GUUCCAUCCUCAAAAAAUUCCUCUACACCUUCUCUUCUUUUGAAAAAGUCAACGUCAGCAAUAGCUGCAGUCACCGUGCCUCCACUAAAGUAGGUCUUCUUCAUCAGCUUAGCAGCAUCCUUUCGAACAAUGAGUGCUCCAAGGCCAGUUGGAUAGCCAAAUAACUUGUAGAAUGAGAACACAACAAAGUCUGCUUUAAACAUUGAUAAAUUUGGUGGAUUGGUAGCACAUCCUUUAGCAGCAUCUAU